rnacentral:rRNA from 1 species
UACGUAGGGUGCAAGCGUUUAUCCGGAAUUAUUGGGCGUAAAGAGCUCGUAGGCGGUUUGUCGCGUCUGCUGUGAAAACUGGAGGCUCAACCUCCAGCCUGCAGUGGGUACGGGCAAACUAGAGUGCGGUAGGGGAGAUUGGAAUUCCUGGUGUAGCGGUGGAAUGCGCAGAUAUCAGGAGGAACACCGAUGGCGAAGGCAGAUCUCUGGGCCGUAACUGACGCUGGAGGAGCGAAAGCAUGGGGAGCGAACAGG